rnacentral:rRNA from 1 species
CGUUGAUUACGUCCCUGCCCUUUGUACACACCGCCCGUCGCUACUACCGAUUGAAUGGCUCAGUGAGGCGUCCGGACUGGCCCAGAGAGGAUGGAAACCACCACUCAGGGCCGGAAAGCUCUCCAAACUUGGUCAUUUAGAGGAAGUAAAAGUCGUAACAAGG